GCCAGGGAUGGUGACGCACUCCUGUAAUCCCAGCAACUGAGGAGGCUGAGGUGGGAGGAUUGCAAGUUUGAGGUCAACCUGUGCAAUUUAGCAAGACCGUGUCUCAG
rnacentral:sRNA from 1 species